GGGUGAUGGGGCGGUGACGUCACGCAGCGGCUCCCGAGCGCCCCGCCCCUUGGGGAGCUGGGUGUGGGGCAGAGCUGUGCUGCAGGCGGGAGCUCUUCGAGCUGGUGUUUUCUGAGUAUCAUUAACAGCAACACGUGCAGUAAAUCCUGUACCUCUAUAAACAGAUAGCGAGAGGCUCAGCAGUCAAGAUUGGGGAAAUGGAUGGGACAGACACGAUAAACAGGAGGGGCUCAUCUGGGAGCUGUCGCCUUUCAGAUCUCUCUGGCUUCCAUGGACAGGAUAGGUGCACCCUGCUGAAUUUAGCAGUCCUGUCGGGGGCAGCCGGAUACUCCCCCAGAAUUGCUGACUAGAGACUGAGACUGUUUAAAGAGACGGAUUCUGUGAAAGAUUGAAAAAGGUAAUUGAUACAUAGACCUAGUAACUUUGUGCGCAGACUAAGGUAAGAGAACUUAAUUUUUGCCUUGGGGGUCAGGUGAGACUCUUGAGCGUGUGCGACUGAGACACAGUUUUAGUGAGAAGUGAGCGUGGAGUCCCAGUCUGUGGUUCCA
rnacentral:lncRNA from 1 species